AUGGAGGCUCUUCAACGCCUGAACCUCCUUCACGAACUCGUCCUGCUUCGUGUCCUCUGGAAGGAGGAAGAGAAACACAAACCUCGGUGUUGUUGGUAACAAACUGCAUCAGCAUCAUAUUCCAGAGCCUCCCACACCUCUCCGAAGUGUCCUUCUCCCAGUUUCUUGUGGAGCCUGAACUCCUCUCGCGGUCUCUCCCACGGCUCCAUG